GACGAACGCUGGCGGCGUGCUUAACACAUGCAAGUCGAACGGAAAGGCCCUGCUUUUGUGGGGUGCUCGAGUGGCGAACGGGUGAGUAACACGUGAGUAACCUGCCCUUGACUUUGGGAUAACUUCAGGAAACUGGGGCUAAUACCGGAUAGGAGCUCCUGCUGCAUGGUGGGGGUUGGAAAGUUUCGGCGGUUGGGGAUGGACUCGCGGCUUAUCAGCUUGUUGGUGGGGUAGUGGCUUACCAAGGCUUUGACGGGUAGCCGGCCUGAGAGGGUGAACGGCAACAUUGGGACUGAGAUACGGCACAGACUGCUACGGGAGGCAGCAGUGGGGAAUAUUGCACAAUGGGCGGAAGCCUGAUGCAGCAACGCCGCGUGCGGGAUGACGGCCUUCGGGUUGUAAACCGCUUUCGCCUGUGACGAAGCGUGAGUGACGGUAAUGGGUAAAGAAGCACCGGCUAACUACGUG
rnacentral:rRNA from 1 species